rnacentral:rRNA from 1 species
UACGGAGGGUGCAGGCGUUGUCCGGAUUUAUUGGGUUUAAAGGGUGCGUAGGCGGCCCGUUAAGUCAGUGGUGAAAUCCCAGGGCUCAACCCUGGAACUGCCAUUGAUACUGACGGGCUUGAGUUCGGUUAAGGCGGGCGGAACUGGUGGUGUAGCGGUGAAAUGCAUAGAUACCACCAAGAACCCCGAUUGCGUAGGCAGCUCGCUGAGCCGAAACUGACGCUGAGGCACGAAAGCGUGGGGAGCGAACAGG